AUCACCGCUAUUUUUCCUACUGGAAGACGUUAACUGAUGUCUACUUGCUGCCCAACAAAAAUUGCGGCUAUGUCAAGUAUUCGGAGGCAGAGAGUGCUCAGAGAGCCAUUCAUGUUUUAAACGGCGCUGAGAUAUGUGGCACCAAAAUAAAGGUCAUGGAGGCUGAAGACCGUAGCGGCUCGGAUGGCUAUGAUGGUGGACGGAAGCGUCUAAGACGUAACUAAUUCUGUUCUUUUAGCUAUCCCUUAUUUCGCAGUGUUUCCGUUUGGAUAUAGUCAGAAACAUUUAUUACACAGAAAAGAACCAAC
rnacentral:sRNA from 1 species